rnacentral:lncRNA from 10 species
AAUACUCUAACUUGUUUUUAAAUGGGAGCAGAUGCCUCUGUUUCUUGAGCUGACUUCCAGAUUCUGAGAAAUAAAUGAAGAGUGGAGGCUUGUUUUGGUAGAGGCUGAGAAAAGGAGUUGGCCAUAUUUGCCCUUCAGAACUUCGUGUCAUCCCCCAGCUCCCCAACGGCAGGGCCACAUUCUUUCACAGGACGGAGUUGGGGCAGAUUAUGGCUUCCUCUGGAUUGGAUUUCCCUUGGCUUCCCUGAGGGCAAUCCCCCGAGGAAGCACAUCCUGGAGCCAAACUCACCCAAUGAACCACAGCAACAGCUCCUAGGAGAAUGAAGAGUGUGAAUGGAUGGCCUUUUCAAAAUGAUGAGCCUGGAAGAGUUACAGACUCUGGCCCGAAAGAACCAAAGUUGAAGGUAGAGAUGUUUUAAGGAUGAGCAGAGCAGAACAACUUAGCAGUGGGAUGUUAAAGGCAACAUGAAUCAAGAUGCUGCCAGUGACCCCAGAGCCUUUUGUUUUCCUCCAAUAUUCUCAGUGCUUUAAAUAUUUAAUGAUCCUUCAACGUCUCUCUGAAUGCACUCCAAAUUAUGGAAGUCCUGGUUGAGAGUGGGGCCUGGAGCAGUUUAGAACCCUCUAAUCAAAGACAUGGUAAUUAGAAACCAGGAAGACUGAGAAGGAAUCAAAUUUGCAGCAGCUCAGUAAGUGGUAGACUGGGAACAAGAAGCCAGUUCUCUGGGCUCUUGAAGCAAGGCCCUGCCACGUUGUCUUUCCCCAGGAGAGGAGGUCAUAAGACAUUCAUUCCAGAGAGAGUCCUGCCCCACCUCUGAGAAGGAAGGAAUGUACACUCAAGAGAGAUCAAGAAGAAUCUAAACAAACAGGCCCUUCUGCGUUUUCCCACAAGAGAAAAUGAUCUAAUUAACAUUCGAUCAUAACUUUUUGUCCAAUUAUAUUUCUACACUGCUGUUCAUACUUUAUUUAACCUAGGCAUAAAAAUUGACAAUUUUUAUUGUAUUUUUGGCUCUUCAUUCUGAAGGCUUCCAUGUAUACAUGUUAAAUAAAUUUGUACACCUUUUCUCCAA